rnacentral:rRNA from 1 species
AGAGUUUGAUCCUGGCUCAGAACGAACGCUGGCGGCGUGCCUAACACAUGCAAGUCGCGUGCGCAGUUUCCGUAGCAAUACGGGGAUCGGCGCACGGCGCACGGGUGCGUAACACGUGGGCAAUCUGCCCUCCGAUGGGGAAUACCCCCGCGAAAGCGGGACUAAUUCCGCAUAACAUUCCUUGGAUUAACUUUCGAGGAUUCAAAGCAGCAAUGCGUCGGAGGAGGAGCCCGCGCCCGAUUAGCUAGUUGGUGAGGUAACGGCUCACCAAGGCAAUGAUCGGUAGCUGGUCUGAGAGGAUGGCCAGCCACACUGGAACUGAGACACGGUCCAGACUCCUACGGGAGGCAGCAGUGGGGAAUCUUGCACAAUGGGCGAAAGCCUGAUGCAGCGACGCCGCGUGGGGGAUGAAGCUUUUCGGAGUGUAAACCCCUUUCGACUGGGACGAAUGCCCGCAAGGGAGUGACGGUACCAGUAUAAGAAGCCCCGGCUAACUACGUGCCAGCAGCCGCGGUAAGACGUAGGGGGCCAGCGUUGUUCGGAAUUACUGGGUGUAAAGGGUUCGUAGGCGGUGUGGCAAGUCGGGAGUGAAAUCUCUGGGCUCAACCCAGAGACUGCUUCCGAAACUGCUGUGCUUGAGUGUGAGAGAGGCUCGUGGAAUUGCAGGUGUAGCGGUGAAAUGCGUAGAUAUCUGCAGGAACACCCGUGGCGAAAGCGGCGAGCUGGAUCACUACUGACGCUGAGGAACGAAAGCUAGGGGAGCAAACAGGAUUAGAUACCCUGGUAGUCC